rnacentral:rRNA from 1 species
AUUGAACGCUGGCGGCAGGCCUAACACAUGCAAGUCGAGCGAGCGGCGGACGGGUGAGUAAUGUCUGGGAAACUGCCUGAUGGAGGGGGAUAACUACUGGAAACGGUAGCUAAUACCGCAUACCAUCAGAUGUGCCCAGAUGGGAUUAGCUAGUAGGUGGGGUAACGGCUCACCUAGGCGACGAUCCCUCGCCUGGCUGAGAGGAUGAACAGCUAACCAGGAACUGAGACACGGUCCAGAUUCCUACGUGAGGAAGCAGUGGGGAAUAUUGCACAAUGGGCGCAAGCCUGAUGCAGCCAUGCCGCGUGUGUGAAGAAGGCCUUCGGGUUGUAAAGCACUUUCAGCGGGGAGGCGUUACCCGCAGAAGAAGCACCGGCUAACUCCGUGCCAGCAGCCGCGGUAAUUC